AAUGAACGCUGGCGGCGCGCCUAAUACAUGCAAGUCGAGCGAGAAGACGUAGCAAUACGUUUGUAAAGCGGCGAACGGGUGAGGAAUACAUGGGUAACCUACCCUAGAGUGGGGAAUAACUAGCCGAAAGGUUAGCUAAUACCGCGUACGCUCCUUGGACUUCGGUUCAGGGAGGAAAGCGAUGCCGAGGGUAUCGCGCUCUCGGAUGGGCUCAUGUCCUAUCAGCUUGUUGGNGAGGUAACGGCUCACCAAGGCUUCGACGGGUAGCUGGUCUGAGAGGACGAUCAGCCACACUGGCACUGCGACACGGGCCAGACUCCUACGGGAGGCAGCAGUAAGGAAUAUUGCGCAAUGGGCGAAAGCCUGACGCAGCGACGCCGCGUGGGGGAGUGAA
rnacentral:rRNA from 1 species